GGACCCGCACAAGCGGUGGAGCAUGUGGUUUAAUUCGAAGCUACGCGCAGAACCUUACCAACACUUGACAUGUCUGUCGCGGAAUUCAGAGAUGAAUUCUUUCGGUUCGGCCGGACAGAACACAGGUGCUGCAUGGCUGUCGUCAGCUCGUGUCGUGAGAUGUUGGGUUAAGUCCCGCAACGAGCGCAACCCACGUCUUUAGUUGCCAGCAUUUAGUUGGGCACUCUAGAGAGACCGCCGGUGAUAAACCGGAGGAAGGUGUGGAUGACGUCAAGUCAUCAUGCCCCUUACAUCCUGGGCUACACACGUACUACAAUGCUACGGACAAAGGGCAGCAAGUUCGCGAGGACAAGCAAAUCCCAUAAACCGUGGCUCAGUUCAGAUCGUAGGCUGCAACUCGCCUACGUGAAGGAGGAAUCGCUAGUAAUCG
rnacentral:rRNA from 1 species